rnacentral:misc_RNA from 1 species
UCUCCGUAGUUGAACAUGCGGAGGGAGCAUUACUGAGCGAGGGUCUCCCGGCCCGACCUCCAACCCCAUGUGAACCGAAACCUGUUGCUUCGGGGGCGACCCUGCCUUUCGGCGCGGCGCCCCCGGAGGCUCAUCAAACACUGCAUCUUUGCGUCGGAGUCUUAAUGAAUUUAAACAAAACUUUUAACAACGGAUCUCUUGGUUCUGGCAUCGAUGAAGAACGCAGC